CCAUGCGAGUCAUGGGGCGCGCUCUGCGCGCACCGGCGGACGGCUCAGUAACACGUCGGUAACCUACCCUCGGGAGGGGGAUAACCCCGGGAAACUGGGGCUAAUCCCCCAUAGGCCUGGGGUACUGGAAGGUCCCCAGGCCGAAAGGGGCUCUGCCCGCCCGAGGAUGGGCCGGCGGCCGAUUAGGUAGUUGGUGGGGUAACGGCCCACCAAGCCGAAGAUCGGUACGGGCCAUGAGAGUGGGAGCCCGGAGAUGGACACUGAGACACGGGUCCAGGCCCUACGGGGCGCAGCAGGCGCGAAACCUCCGCAAUGCGGGCAACCGCGACGGGGGGACCCCCAGUGCCGUGGCACAGCCACGGCUUUUCCGGAGUGUAAAAAGCUCCGGGAAUAAGGGCUGGGCAAGGCCGGUGGCAGCCGCCGCGGUAAUACCGGCGGCCCAAGUGGUGGCCGCUAUUAUUGGGCCUAAAGCGUCCGUAGCCGGGCCCGUAAGUCCCUGGCGAAAUCCCACGGCUCAACCGUGGGGCUUGCUGGGGAUACUGCGGGCCUUGGGACCGGGAGAGGCCGGGGGUACCCCUGGGGUAGGGGUGAAAUCCUAUAAUCCCAGGGGGACCGCCAGUGGCGAAGGCGCCCGGCUGGAACGGGUCCGACGGUGAGGGACGAAGGCCAGGGGAGCGAACCGGAUUAGAUACCCGGGUAGUCCUGGCUGUAAAGGAUGCGGGCUAGGUGUCGGGCGAGCUUCGAGCUCGCCCGGUGCCGGAGGGAAGCCGUUAAGCCCGCCGCCUG
rnacentral:rRNA from 1 species